rnacentral:rRNA from 1 species
UACGGGGGGGAGCAAGCGUUGUUCGGAAUCACUGGGCGUAAAGGGCGCGUAGGCGGCCUGAUAAGUAGGGGGUGAAAUCCUGCGGCUUAACCGCAGGGCUGCCUUCUAAACUGUCAGGCUAGAGCACGGUAGAGGCAGAUGGAAUUCCCGGUGUAGCGGUGGAAUGCGUAGAGAUCGGGAAGAACAUCAGUGGCGAAGGCGGUCUGCUGGGCCGUUGCUGACGCUGAGGCGCGACAGCGUGGGGAGCAACAGG